UGCUCCACUACAAGAUGGACCUGCGUUGUAUUAGCUAGUAGGUGAGGUAACGGCUCACCUAGGCGACGAUACAUAGCCGACCUGAGAGGGUGAUCGGCCACACUGGGACUGAGACACGGCCCAGACUCCUACGGGAGGCAGCAGUAGGGAAUCUUCGGCAAUGGGGGCAACCCUGACCGAGCAACGCCGCGUGAGUGAAGAAGGUUUUCGGAUCGUAAAGCUCUGUUGUAAGUCAAGAACGAGUGUGAGAGUGGAAAGUUCACACUGUGACGGUAGCUUACCAGAAAGGGACGGCUAACUACGUGCCAGCAGCCGCGGUAAUACGUAGGUCCCGAGCGUUGUCCGGAUUUAUUGGGCGUAAAGCGAGCGCAGGCGGUUUGAUAAGUCUGAAGUUAAAGGCUGUGGCUCAACCAUAGUUCGCUUUGGAAACUGUCAAACUUGAGUGCAGAAGGGGAGAGUGGAAUUCCAUGUGUAGCGGUGAAAUGCGUAGAUAUAUGGAGGAACACCGGUGGCGAAAGCGGCUCUCUGGUCUGUAACUGACGCUGAGGCUCGAAAGCGUGGGGAGCGAACAGGAUUAGAUACCCUGGUAGUCCACGCCGUAAACGAUGAGUGCUAGGUGUUGGAUCCUUUCCGGGAUUCAGUGCCGUAGCUAAC
rnacentral:rRNA from 1 species